rnacentral:rRNA from 1 species
AUUGAACGCUGGCGGCAUGCUUUACACAUGCAAGUCGAACGGUAACAGGCCGCAAGGUGCUGACGAGUGGCGAACGGGUGAGUAAUGCAUCGGAACGUGCCCAGUCGUGGGGGAUAACGCAGCGAAAGCUGCGCUAAUACCGCAUACGAUCUCUGGAUGAAAGCGGGGGACCGAAAGGCCUCGCGCGAUUGGAGCGGCCGAUGUCAGAUUAGGUAGUUGGUGGGGUAUAGGCCCACCAAGCCAACGAUCUGUAGCUGGUCUGAGAGGACGACCAGCCACACUGGGACUGAGACACGGCCCAAACUCCUACGGGAGGCAGCAGUGGGGAAUUUUGGACAAUGGGCGCAAGCCUGAUCCAGCAAUGCCGCGUGCAGGAAGAAGGCCUUCGGGUUGUAAACUGCUUUUGUACGGAACGAAACGGUCCGGGCUAAUACCCUGGGCUAAUGACGGUACCGUAAGAAUAAGCACCGGCUAACUACGUGCCAGCAGCCGCAGUAA